AUUGAACGCUGGCGGCAGGCCUAACACAUGCAAGUCGAGCGGAUGAAGGGAGCUUGCUCCUGGAUUCAGCGGCGGACGGGUGAGUAAUGCCUAGGAAUCUGCCUGGUAGUGGGGGAUAACGUCCGGAAACGGGCGCUAAUACCGCAUACGUCCUGAGGGAGAAAGUGGGGGAUCUUCGGACCUCACGCUAUCAGAUGAGCCUAGGUCGGAUUAGCUAGUUGGUGGGGUAAAGGCCUACCAAGGCGACGAUCCGUAGCUGGUCUGAGAGGAUGAUCAGUCACACUGAAACUGGGAAACGGUCCAGACUCCUACGGGAGGCAGCGGUGGGGAAUAUUGGACAAUGGGCGAAAGCCUGAUCCAGCCAUGCGGCGUGGGUGAAGAAGGUCUUCGGAUGGUAAAGCACUUUAAGUUGGGAGAAAGGGCAGUAAGUUAAUACCUUGCUGUUUUGACGUUACAACAGAAUAAGCACCGGCUAACUUCGUG
rnacentral:rRNA from 1 species